rnacentral:rRNA from 1 species
AUGAACGCUGGCGGCGUGCUUAACACCUGCAAGUCGAACGAUGAAGCCCAGCUUGCUGGGUGGAUUAGUGGCGAACGGGUGAGUAACACGUGAGUAACCUGCCCUUAACUCUGGGAUAAGCCUGGGAAACUGGGUCUAAUACCGGAUAGGAGCGUCCACCGCAUGGUGGGUGUUGGAAAGAUUUAUCGGUUUUGGAUGGACUCGCGGCCUAUCAGCUUGUUGGUGAGGUAAUGGCUCACCAAGGCGACGACGGGUAGCCGGCCUGAGAGGGUGACCGGCCACACUGGGACUGAGACACGGCCCAGACUCCUACGGGAGGCAGCAGUGGGGAAUAUUGCACAAUGGGCGCAAGCCUGAUGCAGCGACGCCGCGUGAGGGAUGACGGCCUUCGGGUUGUAAACCUCUUUCAGUAGGGAAGAAGCGAAAGUGACGGUACCUGCAGAAGAAGCACCGGCUAACUACGUG